rnacentral:rRNA from 1 species
UGGGGAAUUUUGCGCAAUGGGGGAAACCCUGACGCAGCAACGCCGCGUGAGUGAGGAAGGUCUUCGGAUCGUAAAGCUCUGUCAGUUGGAAAGAAAUGUCUGAGAGUCAAUCCCUUUCAGGCUUGACGGUACCAACAGAGGAAGCACCGGCUAACUCCGUGCCAGCAGCCGCGGUAAUACGGGGGGUGCAAGCGUUGUUCGGAAUUAUUGGGCGUAAAGAGCGUGUAGGCGGCCGGAUAUGUCAGAUGUGAAAGCCCCGGGCUUAACCCGGGAAGUGCAUUUGAAACUGUCCGGCUCGAGUAGGGGAGAGGGAAGUGGAAUUCCUGGUGUAGAGGUGAAAUUCGUAGAUAUCAGGAGGAACACCGGUGGCGAAGGCGACUUCCUGGCCCUAUACUGACGCUGAGACGCGAGAGCGUGGGUAGCAAACAG